CUUCUUCUUUCCUCUUCCAAAAUAUAUAACUUUUGGGGUUUUUUUGUUGCUAUUUUUUCAGUAAAAGUGGCAUAAAAAUAAUUGAGUUUUCUUCCAGUCUUGAAAACCUCAGCAAUUUCCUUACACAGGGGCUGAAGUAGGAAAAAACAACAUGUCUGGGUCUUAUCUAAACCUCCUCCUUUUUGGCAAGAUUUAGAAAUUUACAUGAAGCUAAAUAUCCUAUUCCUGCUCCUGGAAACCUCAGUGUAUCUCCCAAGGGGCUGCUUUCCUCCCACCUUGCCCUCACCUCUGUCCAGGGGUGUGAUUUGUGUUUUACUCUGUACUAAUACAAGUAUUUUCCCUGAUAUUUCCAGUGCCAUUAAGAAGGAUCCCAAUGGUGUUUCCAAGGAGGACUUGCUGCACUAAGGACAGCUGGUUCUGGUGGUCAGAUCCUGGAGGAAAAUGGGGAAUAUCAGUUCCCAAAUCCCAAGGCUGGCACAGACUCCAUGUGUCACCUCAGGAAUUCCUUGAUGCUGCUGGGAACCUCCCUGGUAAACCAGCCUGCCCUGAAAUCCCCACCAAUGAAAACUUGUUUUUUGCCUACUUUUUACAAACUUCAGAGGGUAGAAUGAUUUCAGCAGAUGCAUUUAUUUGUCUGAUUUUGCUGCCUGGACUCACACAGUGAGGUUUUCUGAGAUAUUAACUAUCACUCUAAAUUCUUCUCGCUUUGAGUCAUCCCAUCCCGUAUAUAAUUUGAACAGGUUUUUGUAUAAUUAUUUCUCUCAAUAAUUACCAUUGUACAAUUUCUAUAGCUGCCAGUUUUGUUUUUCUCUCCUGCCAGAGAACAGCAGAAAUGUAUUACAUGUUAGUGUAACUUAUGUUUUUGGAUUCAUGUUUAAAAUGCAUGGAAUAUUUUUCAUCUUCUGUUUGAAGCAAUAC
rnacentral:lncRNA from 1 species